AUACCUGUAGCGCAAUGGAUAGCACGUUGGACUUCUAAUCCAAAGGUCGUGGGUUCGAAUCCCACCUGGGAUG
rnacentral:tRNA from 1 species